rnacentral:rRNA from 1 species
ACUGAACGCUGGCGGCAUGCCUUACACAUGCAAGUCGAACGGUAGAGGGGGGCAACCCCUUCGAGAGUGGCGAACGGGUGAGUAAUGCAUCGGAACGUGCCCAGUCGUGGGGGAUAGCCCGGGGAAACCCGGAUUAAGACCGCAUACGACCUGAGGGUGAAAGCGGGGGACUCGCAAGGGCCCCGCGCGAUUGGAGCGGCCGAUGUCGGAUUAGGUAGUUGGUGGGGUAAAGGCCUACCAAGCCUGCGAUCCGUAGCUGGUCUGAGAGGACGACCAGCCACACUGGGACUGAGACACGGCCCAGACUCCUACGGGAGGCAGCAGUGGGGAAUUUUGGACAAUGGGGGCAACCCUGAUCCAGCCAUGCCGCGCGCGGGAAGAAGGCCUUCGGGUUGUAAACCGCUUUUGUCAGGGAAGAAAUGUCCUGGGCUAAUACCCUGGGGGGAUGACGGUACCUGAAGAAUAAGCACCGGCUAACUACGUGCCAGCCGCCGCUGUAA